rnacentral:rRNA from 1 species
UUGAAGAGUUUGAUCAUGGCUCAGAUUGAACGCUGGCGGCAGGCCUAACACAUGCAAGUCGAGCGGUAGCACAGAGAGCUUGCUCUCGGGUGACGAGCGGCGGACGGGUGAGUAAUGUCUGGGAAACUGCCUGAUGGAGGGGGAUAACUACUGGAAACGGUAGCUAAUACCGCAUAAUGUCGCAAGACCAAAGUGGGGGACCUUCGGGCCUCAUGCCAUCAGAUGUGCCCAGAUGGGAUUAGCUAGUAGGUGGGGUAAUGGCUCACCUAGGCGACGAUCCCUAGCUGGUCUGAGAGGAUGACCAGCCACACUGGAACUGAGACACGGUCCAGACUCCUACGGGAGGCAGCAGUGGGGAAUAUUGCACAAUGGGCGCAAGCCUGAUGCAGCCAUGCCGCGUGUGUGAAGAAGGCCUUCGGGUUGUAAAGCACUUUCAGCGGGGAGGAAGGCGAUAAGGUUAAUAACCUUGGCGAUUGACGUUACCCGCAGAAGAAGCACCGGCUAACUCCGUGCCAGCAGCCGCGGUAAUACGGAGGGUGCAAGCGUUAAUCGGAAUUACUGGGCGUAAAGCGCACGCAGGCGGUCUGUCAAGUCGGAUGUGAAAUCCCCGGGCUCAACCUGGGAACUGCAUUCGAAACUGGCAGGCUAGAGUCUUGUAGAGGGGGGUAGAAUUCCAGGUGUAGCGGUGAAAUGCGUAGAGAUCUGGAGGAAUACCGGUGGCGAAGGCGGCCCCCUGGACAAAGACUGACGCUCAGGUGCGAAAGCGUGGGGAGCAAACAGGAUUAGAUACCCUGGUAGUCCACGCCGUAAACGAUGUCGAUUUGGAGGUUGUGCCCUUGAGGCGUGGCUUCCGGAGCUAACGCGUUAAAUCGACCGCCUGGGGAGUACGGCCGCAAGGUUAAAACUCAAAUGAAUUGACGGGGGCCCGCACAAGCGGUGGAGCAUGUGGUUUAAUUCGAUGCAACGCGAAGAACCUUACCUGGUCUUGACAUCCACAGAACUUAGCAGAGAUGCUUUGGUGCCUUCGGGAACUGUGAGACAGGUGCUGCAUGGCUGUCGUCAGCUCGUGUUGUGAAAUGUUGGGUUAAGUCCCGCAACGAGCGCAACCCUUAUCCUUUGUUGCCAGCGGUUCGGCCGGGAACUCAAAGGAGACUGCCAGUGAUAAACUGGAGGAAGGUGGGGAUGACGUCAAGUCAUCAUGGCCCUUACGACCAGGGCUACACACGUGCUACAAUGGCAUAUACAAAGAGAAGCGACCUCGCGAGAGCAAGCGGACCUCAUAAAGUAUGUCGUAGUCCGGAUUGGAGUCUGCAACUCGACUCCAUGAAGUCGGAAUCGCUAGUAAUCGUAGAUCAGAAUGCUACGGUGAAUACGUUCCCGGGCCUUGUACACACCGCCCGUCACACCAUGGGAGUGGGUUGCAAAAGAAGUAGGUAGCUUAACCUUCGGGAGGGCGCUUACCACUUUGUGAUUCAUGACUGGGGUGAAGUCGUAACAAGGUAACCGUAGGGGAACCUGCGGUUGGAUCACCUCCUU